CGAAACCACCGCAUCGAGCCGGCCCAGCUGAAGUCAUCGCCCACGUUUGAGGGCACCGAAGUAGACGAUGACGUCGUCCCAAAAUGCCCCGGCUUCCUCUAUAAAUAGACAAGCCGAUGGCUUCUUUUCCCUUCUUUCAUUCGUUUGGUUGCUGUGUGGGUGGGUUAGGUUUUGGCUUCCGUUCCAGAUAAGUGUUCUUUGUCUCCUUUCUUUCUCUGUUUCCUUUCCUUUUCUUAAGGGUUAGUUCCUUUCUUUGGUUUCUGUGGCUUCUGGUUUAUCCUUGGCUGGGAUCCUUCUUAGGAUACACCUCCGGGUUUAAAAUCUGAUCUUUCGGGGUUGAUUUUGGCUUUUGGGUUGUUGUCUUUUAGCCCCGAUCCUCAGAAUCCGAUCUUUGGAAUCGACCCUUCCGUUUAGAGAGCUUGCGCUUCUCAAAAUCUGUUAUUUGGAGGCCAAUCUUUUCUUGAAAGAUCUGUUAUUUCGGUGUUGGUCUUUGUUCUUGCAAGUAAUUAGAGGGGGCUGAUGAUCUUGAUGUUUUCGUCUCUAAUUCUGUCGAAAACCAGUUUCUACCCUUUAUGAAUCUUGCUACUCUCAGCGUCUGCUUCCUCCACUCCUUCUCCGUGGUCCUCCUCUACUGGUUCUAUGUGAUCUCAUGAACUAAGUCUCUUUGCGUGAUCCAGUCAUUUCAUUUCAUUUUUUUCCGUUCAAACCAAUUUCUAUUAGCUUAGAAUCAGAGAACCACCCCUGCUAAAGAGUAUGUCUUCCAUUCCGGUCCGCCGCGCUUCGAGUUCUGAAGGAGACUCGCAGCCGACGUCCGAUGAGAGGAAGAGAAAGAGGAUGAUUUCGAACAGGGAGUCCGCAAGAAGGUCUAGGAUGAGGAAGCAGCAGCAUCUCGAUGAUCUGAUAAACCAAGCCGAGCAGCUCAAGAACCAAAACAGCCAGAUCGACGUGCAGAUCAAUCUGGCGACACAGCAGUACGUCAAGGUGGAAUCUGAGAACGCUAUUCUAAGGGCUCAGCUGAGUGAAUUGACAGAGAGACUGCACUCGAUCAACUCUGUUCUCCGUUUCAUUGAGGAGGUCAGUGGAAUGGCCAUGGACAUACCGGAGAUACCAGAUCCUCUCCUGAAGCCAUUGCAGCUUCCCCGUGCGGCACAACCAAUCAUGGCCAAUGCUGACAUGUUGCAGUUCUGAAAUGUCAUUGUUGUGUAAGG
rnacentral:lncRNA from 1 species